rfam:Ciona savignyi cont_31848, whole genome shotgun sequence.
GCCCGGUUAGCUCAGCCGGUAGAGCGUUGGACUUUUAAUCCAACGGUCAAAGGUUCAAGUCCCUCAUCGGGCU